rnacentral:rRNA from 1 species
GAUGAACGCUAGCGGCAGGCUUAACACAUGCAAGUCGAGGGGCAGCGCGAUGUAGCAAUACAUUGGCGGCGACCGGCGCACGGGUGCGUAACACGUAUGGAACUUACCCUUUACUGGGAGAUAGCCCGGAGAAAUCCGGAUUAAUAUCCCAUAAUAAACGAAGUGGCAUCACUUUGUUUUGAAAGCUCCGGCGGUAAAGGAUGGCCAUGCGCACGAUUAGCUAGUAGGUGAGGUAACGGCUCACCUAGGCUACGAUCGUUAGGGGGCCUGAGAGGGUUAUCCCCCACACUGGUACUGAGACACGGACCAGACUCCUACGGGAGGCAGCAGUGAGGAAUAUUGCGCAAUGGAGGCAACUCUGACGCAGCCAUGCCGCGUGCAGGAAGAAGGCGCUACGCGUUGUAAACUGCUUUUAACCGGGAAGAAACCCUCCGACGUGUCGGAGGUUGACGGUACCGGAGGAAUAAGCACCGGCUAACUUCGUGCCAGCAGCCGCGGUAAAGU